UGGAUUUUAGGCCUUUUACAGGUCAAGUAGAAAGUGAGCCUAUGGGCUUCUAAACUGGGAUUGCAUGUAACUGAUGUAAGUUAAAAAUCCAUACUAUUCAGAGUUUCAAAUAAUAACGACUAACGAGAGACAAAGUUGGUCUUGGUCUUGGUCUUGGUCUUGGUCUCACUCCUCUUCGACGACGACAAUAGGUAAUUAUUUUUUUUCCUCUCUCUUCUGCAAGCUCAACUGCUCUCCCCAACCCAGGCUUCUUCUCCAAAAGCAACUUUGAGGAUAUCUAUCAGGAUUAUGAGGCAACCAUUCAGUGCUUUAGAUGCUUAAAAGGCACAUUGGAGAAGAGCAAUGUAUGACAGGAGAUGUUCAGAUGCAGCCUUGAUAUUGGGAAGUGGAGGUAUUGCUCCAUGCUUAUGCAAUUAUAGUAAGUACUCCUAAUGACAUUUCUACUCAAUACUUUCUGAUGAUAAACUGUCUGGUUGUUCAUAUUGCUGCUGUUUAUAGUUAUGAGCAGC